rnacentral:rRNA from 1 species
AUACGGAAGGUCCGGGCGUUAUCCGGAUUUAUUGGGUUUAAAGGGAGCGCAGGCGGAGAUGCAAGCGUGACGUCAAAUUUCGGGGCUCAACCCCGUCUCGCGUCGCGAACUGCGUCCCUUGGUUGCGGGAAGGGGAGGCGGAACUCGUGGUGUAGCGGGGAAAUGCAUAGAUAUCACGAAGAACUCCGAUCGCGAAGGCAGCCUUCCGGCCCGUCAACGACGCUCAUGCUCGAAGGUGCGGGUAUCAAACAGGAUUAGAUACCCUGGUAGUCCGCACAGUAAACGAUGGACACCCGCGGUUUGGCCUGUAUGGCUGAGCCGCCAAGCGAAAGCGUUAAGUGUCCCACCUGGGGAGUACGCCGGCAACGGUGAAACUUAAAGGAAUUGACGGGG